UAAGUACCACUUAUAGCAUAUUAUUUUUCUAAUUUAAUGUAAGGACAGCAAUUCAUAAGUGCUACUGUCUAUCUGUAACGAACGUAAUUUGUCCUACUAACGUUAACUUUAUCCAUAGCAAAGCCGUAACUUUUAAGUUAAACCUACAAAGCUAGCUAACGUUUGAUAUCACGGAGACAGCAACGUUAAUCCUAGCGAGCUGUCAAUAAGAAAACAACACAACAUAAAUAUCUUAAAUCUAUCGUACUGAUAUUUUUGUUAAUAGGGACAGAGCAGGACACAGAGGCCCUUAUCCUUUGGCGGACUUCAAACGAAGCCCUCUUCAGUGGGCGACGGAAUGCUGCCCUAAAAGGAUUUGAGUAAGUCAAAGAGUUUGUCAGGGAGCAGUCUUUGGUGGGCAAAAUAGAGCCCACCAAAGUUAAAAGGAAGUGGGAAAACCUAAAACAAAAGUACAAGGAAUUGAAAGCCCCUAAAACAGGCAUAAGCACAGAGGGAGGAGAGGCCACUGCCG